UUUGAGCGGGGGACAACAUUUGGAAACGAAUGCUAAUACCGCAUAAAAACUUUAAACACAAGUUUUAAGUUUGAAAGAUGCAAUUGCAUCACUCAAAGAUGAUCCCGCGUUGUAUUAGCUAGUUGGUGAGGUAAAGGCUCACCAAGGCGAUGAUACAUAGCCGACCUGAGAGGGUGAUCGGCCACAUUGGGACUGAGACACGGCCCAAACUCCUACGGGAGGCAGCAGUAGGGAAUCUUCGGCAAUGGACGAAAGUCUGACCGAGCAACGCCGCGUGAGUGAAGAAGGUUUUCGGAUCGUAAAACUCUGUUGGUAGAGAAGAACGUUGGUGAGAGUGGAAAGCUCAUCAAGUGACGGUAACUACCCAGAAAGGGACGGCUAACUACGUGCCAGCAGCCGCGGUAAUACGUAGGUCCCGAGCGUUGUCCGGAUUUAUUGGGCGUAAAGCGAGCGCAGGUGGUUUAUUAAGUCUGGUGUAAAAGGCAGUGGCUCAACCAUUGUAUGCAUUGGAAACUGGUAGACUUGAGUGCAGGAGAGGAG
rnacentral:rRNA from 1 species